CCUCUUGAAGGAGGAGCAGCCCCUUCAAAAACGAGCUGUGUGCCUGGGCUGCACCCCCACGCCGCGCUCCUGCUCGCGGUCCCCUGGGCGCCCCGCAGCCCCGAGUGCCGGGCCUGCACCUCGCGCCCGCCCUCGGGAGAGGGCCCGGACGGUUAGGCACGUUACUGAUGCGAGCAGUCAGAGCAGAGACCAGCAAAAGCAGAGCGGAGCUGAGGGCAGAGGCCAGAGCUCAAAGGAUGACACCUCAGCAAAGACCUGUUCGACGGCACUUCAGAGCCGCAGUGCAGCACUGCGUGUAUUUGACAAGCUGAGUUUGACACUCAGUGUGGCAGAGUGUCAGUUUGUCAAAUACCCCAAGUGAGGCAUUUGCUUAGCGACACAGCGCGACACCGAGGAGACCAGCCCCUUCCUCUGACUCGGGCGGGAAAUUUCCCGUCCGUAUUCUUCCCUUCGCCAAAAACCCAAAGAGGUAUCGAACGAACCAUCUCAUUACUGAAUGUUUGACUGACUCCCACGCUGUCAGGUUUCCCGUCCACCCCAGUUUUGGAAAUGCCUAUUGGGGUUCUCAUCUUAUUGGCAAAUCUCUAUAAAAGUAGUGUUGGCACAAUUCCACUGCGACAGGAAAGCAGAGAAUUUGGCCCAGGUUCCUCAUUCUCUGCAGCCAAAGAGUGCCGUUCUCUUUCGCAACAUUAACUAGCAGGCUGUUAAUUAAGCUCCUGUUCAGUUAAAGGUUAUGGCUAUUAUGGCUACUACAAUCACAGCAUUAUGGAUAGUAGCAGCAUUAUCUGUAACAUAGAAUUUUUUAAUUUGACUUAUAGGAAUCUUCUUCUAAUUGAAGUGGAAACUAAUGAUGCCGCCAUUUCACUUCCCUCUAUCCCAUUGGCCAGUGCAAAGUUGUUUGCUCAAUCCAUUUUUAAAUUAAGCCAUGUAGUCUAUCACUUCUCCUUGAAGCCCUUUGUGUUUGGAAAAGACUUGUUGGUUUUGGCUGGUUAUUCCUAGUCAGCACUUGCUACAAGGUUGCCUAUUGCUUUUGCUACAUUUCCGCUCUUUUAAUAAAAUAAUUCCCUCUAAAUCAUCCCAGCUGAAGAUCUAAUGAUUGGUUAACAUUUUUAAUGACUGAGUUGUGCCAUUUCAUAUCCGCAGCUUGAGAUAUCUCAGGGUGGGAGGAUGUCAUAGGGUGAGUGCCCAGCCUCAUUUGACAAUUUGAAUUCUCUAAAGAUGUUUAAAAUUGAAAACUCAGAAACUAAAAGAAAACCCCAAGAUACUUGUUUCAGGGCAGUACCACCAGCAAAUUUUGCAACAUUUGAGACUACUGAUAAACUUUAAUACUA